GAGAGUUUGAUCCUGGCUCAGGACGAACGCUGGCGGCGUGCCUAACACAUGCAAGUCGAACGGAUUCAGAUGUUAGACAGUGGGUAUUAGAGAAUCUAAAAUCUAAUGUCUAAUGUCUAAUAUCUGAAUUAGUGGCGGACGGGUGAGUAACGCGUGAGCAACCUGCCUUACAGAGGGGGAUAACAUUCGGAAACGAAUGCUAAUACCGCAUAAUAUACAUUUACGGCAUCGUAGAUAUAUCAAAGGAGCAAUCCGCUGUAAGAUGGGCUCGCGUCCGAUUAGAUAGUUGGUGAGGUAAAGGCUCACCAAGUCUGCGAUCGGUAGCCGGACUGAGAGGUUGAACGGCCACAUUGGGACUGAGACACGGCCCAGACUCCUACGGGAGGCAGCAGUGGGGAAUAUUGCACAAUGGGCGAAAGCCUGAUGCAGCAACGCCGCGUGAGGGAAGACGGUCUUCGGAUUGUAAACCUUUAACUCUUGGAGAAGAAAGAAACGACGGUAUCCAAAGGAGCCACGGCU
rnacentral:rRNA from 1 species